rnacentral:rRNA from 1 species
CCCUGGCUUUCGCGGCCGGCUGAAGUAUUUUUUUCACCCAUGUCUUUUGCGCACUUGUUGUUUCCUGGGCGGGUUCGCCCGCCACCAGGACCAAACCAUAAACCUUUUUUUCUUAUGCAGUUUCCAUCAGCGUCAGUAAAAACAAUGUAAUUAUUACAACUUUCAACAACGGAUCUCUUGGUUCUGGCAUCGAUGAAGAACGCAGCGAAAUGCGAUACGUAUUGUGAAUUGCAGAAUUCAUUGAAUCAUCGAAUCUUUGAACGCACAUUGCGCCCUUUGGUAUUCCAAAGGGCAUGCCUGUUCGAGCGUCAUUUGUACCUUCAAGCUUUGCUUGGUGUUGGGCGUUUUUUUGUCUCCCUCUUUCUGGGAGACUCGCCUUAAAACGAUUGGCAGCCGGCCUACUGGUUUCGGAGCGCAGCACAUUUUUUGCGCUUUGUAUCAGGAGAAAAGGACGGUACUCCAUCAAGACUCUACAUUUUUCACUUUUGACCUCGGAUCAGGUAGGGAUACCCGCUGAACUUAAGCAUAUCAAUAAGCGGAGGAA